rnacentral:rRNA from 1 species
GAUGAACGCUGGCGGCGUGCCUAACACAUGCAAGUCAAGCGAUUCUCUUCGGAGAAGAGCGGCGGACGGGUGAGUAACGCGUGGGUAACCUGCCUCAUACACAUGGAUAACAUACCGAAAGGUAUGCUAAUACAAGAUGAUAUAAGAGAUUCGCAUGGAUUUCUUAUCAAAGCUCCGGCGGUAUGAGAUGGACCCGCGUCUGAUUAGCUAGUUGGUAAGGUAACGGCUUACCGAGGCGACGAUCAGUAGCCGACCUGAGAGGGUGAUCGGCCACAUUGGAACUGCAACACGGGCCAAACUCCUACGGGAGGCAGCAGUGGGGAAGAUUGCACAAUGGGCGAAAGCCUGAUGCAGCAACGCCGCGUGAGCGAUGAAGGCCUUCGGGUCGUAAAGCUCUGUCCUCAAGGAAGAUAAUGACGGUACUUGAGGAGGAAGCCCCGGCUAACUACGUGCCAGCAGCCGCAGUAAGAC